CAAAAUUAUAUACGAGAAAUAGUGCGGAACCCUAAUACUCUCAUAACUGAACUUUUUAAUACAAAAAAAUGCCUACAAACAAGAAGAAAUCGACGAAGUUCGAAUAGAAUGAACAUCAUUUGUUGGACGAUUUGUGUAGUACCUAUGGAUUCAUUACUUUUGUUUAUUUGAUGUAAGUAUUUUGUUCGGGUUACUUUCUGUAGUAGUACUUAGUAGAUUUGAAAUACUUUGUCUUGUUUAUAAUAUAUAGAACUUUGGAUUGUUAUGUUGAAUGUAGUUUUGUUGGAGGGACGGGCGGUCCCAUUUGUUUCUGUGUGGAAGGGUGUUAAUAUAUAGAAGUGUUUGGUUGUUGCUGAA